UGAACGCUGGCGGCAUGCUUUACACAUGCAAGUCGAACGGUAACAGGCCGCAAGGUGCUGACGAGUGGCGAACGGGUGAGUAAUGCAUCGGAACGUGCCCAGUCGUGGGGGAUAACUACUCGAAAGAGUAGCUAAUACCGCAUACGAUCUAUGGAUGAAAGCGGGGGACCGUAAGGCCUCGCGCGAUUGGAGCGGCCGAUGUCAGAUUAGGUAGUUGGUGGGGUAAAGGCUCACCAAGCCAACGAUCUGUAGCUGGUCUGAGAGGACGACCAGCCACACUGGGACUGAGACACGGCCCAGACUCCUACGGGAGGCAGCAGUAGGGAAUUUUGGACAAUGGGCGCAAGCCUGAUCCAGCAAUGCCGCGUGCAGGAAGAAGGCCUUCGGGUUGUAAACUGCUUUUGUACGGAACGAAACGGCUCUGGUUAAUACCCGGGGCUAAUGACGGUACCGUAAGAAUAAGCACCGGCUAACUACGUG
rnacentral:rRNA from 1 species